GAGCAAGACAUUUAGUGGUUUGGGCACUCACCUAGGAUAUCAGAACCCUGGUCAUUGGGGGAGAGGAGAGAGAAUGUAAGCAUGAGGAGGAGUCUGCAGCCUGAUGGUUAGAGCACUCACCUGGGAGGUAGGCAACCCAGGAUCGACUCCUUCUGCUCCAAUGACUUAAAUUAUUUAUCCACAUGGAACAGUUUCAGCAAGACAGAUUUUGGGAGCAACACAUCAGAAUAGCCCAGUGGGUAGGGCACUCAGCGGAGAGGUACCAGAUCACUGUUCAACUCCCUUCUCCUUCAGGUGGAAGAGGAAUUGGAACCACAGGGUCUCACAUCCCAGGAUUUAACGGAAACCAACAGAAGUUACAUGCGUGGAAGAAGUGCAGAAUAUGCACUGGAGAUCUGCAUUGAAGAGGAGAACUCCACAGUGUUGGUCAGAAUGGAGAAUAUUGCUUACAGACUGGAAGUGUCAUUUGAUGGCAAAGAUUUUAUACAGUGGUGAACUUUCUGCUUAACUCAAAGCCUACUUUUUGCCUUUGAAGCCUUUCUUGAUUUUAUUUUAUUCCUUUGUCCUGCCUGUAGCUAUUUCAGUUUUUCUAUGAUUGACACCAGCUAAAUCACAUCUGUGUCAUCAUCAAGUCAAAUAGUAAACAGAAAAAAGGCAACAAGUACUUUGGAAACAUUAAACAGUUUUGUUUUGUUUUUU